UUAUUUAGUUUAAUAAAGGGAAAAGUGAAUAAUUUUAAUUUUUAUGCUGUAGAGGGAGGCUAUAACAUAAAAAUUAAUAAAAAAUUCAUUUAUUGUACCUUUUGUAUCAGGGUUUAUUUACAUUUGGGUUUAAGAAUCUUUUCUCGACAAAAAAAGAUUUAAAUAGUUAAAGUUCUGAUGUUUCAUUAUUAGGUUAAAUAAUUAUUUAGUUUUGAAAAAAAACAAGAUUUUUUUUAUCUAGUUGCUUUUUAGUUUAUUUAAUUAAUUUUGUUUGUGUAAUUUAUUAUUUGAAUAAAAAAUAUUCUUAGGGAUAAUCUUGAGACUAAAAUUUUAGUUUACUGGGGGAUAAUAAUUUUAUAGGUUUAAAGUUAUCAAUUUUUUUAAUAUUUAAAAAUUAACUUAAUUUUUUUAAUAAUUUUAUAGUGGCUUUACGGGGAGGUAAAGCUUACUUAAUUUAAUUUCAAAAUUAAGAUAAUAAUGAUUGAAUUAGUAGAAUAAAAAGUAUAAUUUAAGAAUUCGGCAAAAUUAAUUUUUGACUGUUUAACAAAAACAUUUCUGAGGGGAAAAUGUUUUUAGUAUAACCUGCUCAAUGCUUUAGUAAAUAGCUGCAGUAUUUUGACUGUACAAAGGUAGCAUAAUCAUUAGUCUUUUGAUUGGAGGCUCGUAUGAAUGGUUGAACAGAAUAUUAACUUUUUUAAUUAUUCGAUGUUUUAAUUUAUAGUUUAUGUAAAAAUGCAUAGUUACUUGAAAGGGACGAUAAGACCCUAUAGAAUUUAAAAAUGUUCAUGAGAAAAUAUUGUAUUUUUUUGUUGGGGUGACAGUAAAUAAACUUUUAUGUAAUUCUCAUUGUUGAAUGUACAAUUGAUCCUAAUGUUUAGAUAAAAAGAUAAAAUUACCUUAGGGAUAACAGCAUGAUUUUUUUUUAAAAGAUCUUAUUAAUAAAAAAGAUUAUGACCUCGAUGUUGAAUUAAAAUAAAAUUUUGGUGUAGAAGCUUAAUUUUUUAGUCUGUUCGACUUUAAAUUUUACAUGAUUUGAGUUCAGACCGGCGUGAGCCAGGUUGGUUUCUAUCUUUUUGUAUGAUUUAUGAUUCAGUACGAAAGGACCAGUUGUAUUAAUUUUUAUUAUGUAUGUUGAAUAAAAUUAAAUUUUACAUUAA
rnacentral:rRNA from 1 species